CCUUAUGACCCAUAAGCUUCGAUCCGGAUCUCCUCCUCGCUCUUUAUUGAACAAAGAAACCCUCGUUGCUCUCAACUCUCAACUCUCAUCUCCAUGGCAACCUUGGAAGAGGGCAGAUCCCCGUUGUGCCAUUAGCCUCGUCUCCUCCUCGUCACUAGCGUCGUCACUAGCGCCGAUCUCCUCUGCAUCUUCCUGCCACCAUGCCCUAACCCUCACCAUUGCCUUCCUUGUUAUCGCGCUGCUACAUCCCCUCCACCGCGCCUCCGCCUCGCAUGUGCUACAUCCCUCGUUCGUGUUUGCCUCGAUUUUCCCUGCUGGGAAAGCCAGUCACGUGAAGAGGGAGGAUAGUUGUCAGGUAGUUGCUAAACAAAGAACAAGUAAAAAAGGUGUGACAACAGAAGUUUAAGAAGGGAGAAAAGGCCCCGCUGAGGGGUGUGUGAUAUUCACAAAGCUAGUCGGUUUUGCCACUGCACUGAUCUGUAAAGAACUCCAAGCACUGAAACCACUACUCAGGUAACCAUUUUUGUAUGCUGCUGAGUUAAUUUCAUUUGAUAAAUCAUUGACAGUGAGUGGUCAUGAGCAAAGAGCAAUAUAUAUUAUAGCUACAGAUAUAUAUACAUACGAAUGUUUGACUUCCAAUAUAGACUUUGAAUUUAUUUUUUAUUUGAAUUAAAAAAAGGCGAAUUUCAAAUAUAUUAUCAGUUUGAAAUUUAUCUACAUUAUCAUUGAAUUAUGUGUCAAUUAUAAGAAUAAAUAUGUGUGUGCUUUCUAUUUGGCUUACCUUUUCAUAAGGAAUUAAUUAUGGGGCUGAUUUAAAAGUGAUUUUGUAGUUGUAUCUGAAUUUUCUUAUGUUCUCGUUCUAGUAUUGUUUUGAAUGCAUGUAUGUAACGAGCUAUAAUAUAUAUUUACAAGGAAAUAAUCAACCCAAAACACAAAUCAAUUAUGGAUUGGCUCUUUCCAUUGAAAAAGUAUUUUCAAUGUAGCAUUAGAUUUUGUUGCAAAUUUUAAUAUAUUUCUUGUAUUUGAGUAUUAGUUUUCUAAUGUAUAAAACAAUUAUAGCAAAAGUCGUCACUAAUAACUGUUUGAUUUGUCUUGUAAUAAAAAUUGUAUAUUAUAUUUAUAAGUUUGGUAAUAAAAAAAGACUGAAAAUUUAUAUUGUUCAGCGAUGUAGAUCAAGGAAAAGAUUUUUUUUUUUAAUUUGACAAGGCUUUCGCCACGCUUUAAAAGCGUGGCCGUAUCUCUUGCUAUUGCCACGCUUUAAAAGUGUGGCCCUAUCUCUCCCUAUCGCCACGCUUUAAAAGCGUGGCCAUAUCUCCCACCUACAGCCACGCUUUUAAAAGUGGCAAUUUGUAAAAGGCGUGGCAAAAAAAGUGUGGCGAUAGGCUGAAAAAAGUGUGGCGAUAGAGCAACCGCCACCCUUUCAGAGGUCACCCUUUCAAAAGCAUGGUGGUAGCUCAAAAAGCGUGGCAAAAAGCUAUCGCCACACUUUUUUCAGUUUCUCGCCACGCUUUAAAAGCGUGGCAAUAGAUGUGUUUUCUUGUAAGUACUAGUCGCAGCCCGCGGAGUUUAGGCCGACUAGCUAUAUACAUACAUACAGAGUUUUGAAAGUUAAAACAGCAUAUAAAACAUAUCUCUCAAAGUUAGCCUUUAAGGAAAAUAAAGAUAAAAAAGUGAGACUACUAAACAAAAUAUCCAAAAUAACUCCAAAAGAUAAUCAAGAUCCUCGGCUCUGUUACCAUCUCGCAAUUUACCAAGGUGGAUUACAACCUGCAUAUGAAAAACAACAAAAGAAUAUGGUAUGAGAACCGAAGGUUCUUAGUAUGAUAACAGUGCCCAGUAAUGUAAGAUAUAAGAUCCUGGCAUGUCAGAGGCAAUCCUAGAACUUCAUAUCCGGCAUAAGAUUUAGACUAAAAGCAUAACUAAAUUUAAAACCAUAACUUUAAAACCAUAAUAAAAAUGGGGUAAUCUAGCUUAGGGAAUUUUCUAAACUAACAUUCACACCGUUGUCUCACAGCCUUCACCAGCCUAACCGCCAUGCGAUCCCAUCGCCACCACCUAUCGAACCUCCUCAAUCUCAGUAGAAAACACAAAUAAUUCAUACAAGUAAAACACAAGUAAUUAUCAAGUAAAGCACAAGUAAUUAUCAAGUAUA